AGUCAGAGACAGACAGACAUCAUACGCUUUCACUCUGGUAGUCGUUUCAACGGUAAGAUGUUCAAUGUUUGUUUAUAUCCUUUAAAGAUGUGCCAUUUGGAUCCUCCGUGGUUUUGCCCUGAAAUUAUUAUAAGCUACAUUUACCUGCGCUAACACAGGCCAAACCAUUUCCCAGUUUGUCAACGUGUUUUUAGUUUAAUUUUGUUAUUUAUGCUGGUGUUGAAAUUGGUGGAGUAAGUUUCUAAAUGUAUUCUGGCUGUAAAUUUUGUUUUUUAAUUUUAAAAUCCAUUUUAGUUUCUCAAUAUGCCAGUCUCUGUUUCUGUUACACCAGGGCUGGAGGCAUCGUUCCCUCCCUCCCCCCACCCAUAUCUAUUUAUUUUUAGCUUUUCCACAUGUCACUCUGUAAUCCACCUAGAGUUUAUUUUGGUAUGUGGUCUAAGCUUUGCAUCUAAAUGUUUUUAUUCCAACAAGACCUAUUAAAAGACUAUUUAUUUUAUUUUUCCUUCCCCAAUGAACGUCUGAAAUCUGUCUUGUGGAAUGAGUGGCUGCCCUCUUCUCCGCCAAGCACCUGGACAUACUGAAGUUUAUCCACCUGCACCCUUGAAUCCUGGUGCCUGAGAGAGGGCUCCUCAUCCCAGGUCACACCUCAGACUUGAUCGGAUGGCGGUUAUGAAGGCAAGGACACAUGGAAGAAUGCCACUUUCCUCGACAGAUGAGACAGGUCCAAGAAGACAAUUUUUUCUUUAAGUGGGGUCCUUUUUUUUCCGAACAAGGCUUGCAUCCAUAGUAAUUUUAUGCUACAAUGUGAAUAAUGGAUCUGGAAAACCUUUCUUUCCAGGACCGACGUAUAUAUAUGAGACAUUUUUUUCCCCCUGCUAUUCAAUAAUGAUUAUUUUGAUUACACAGAGAAGUUCUUAGGUAAGUGGAAUAAUAUAAAAUCAAUGUGAAAAAAAGGUAAAAAUGUGUUUUUUGGGGGUAUUAGACGAUGGUGAAACAGGUAAUUUGUGUGUGUGUGUGUGUGUGUGUGUGUUGAAUAACGCAGAGUAAAGUUAUCCUAAUUCCAUUCAUCAAUUAAUUUAAUUUUGAUUCCACGUUAACCUCCUUUACUCAGUUCCUCUCCCCACCCCCACCCCCCCAAAUCCCUGUAAGGAAGCCCUGUGAAUGCCCCAGACAUGAGGCUAUGAGAGCUUGGCUGAGCUCCUGCGUCUGGGGAUUACCUUCCAGAUUUAUUUGCGGGGUGUCUGUGCCGGGCAAGUCUUAGCUUUCGCAAAAGACUAAUUACUCCUUGUACCUUUUAACAUUAAAAUGCAUCUGAGACCUUGCCUCCAUUUAACACAACUCUGAGACAUACCUUAUUCAGCAGAAGCAACGGGGGCCCCUGUCGCCAAGGCUUAGCAGAUAAGAAGAUUAGGACAACGGAUUUUAACUUUCAUUUCUUUGAUGCAAAAGGGCUUCUAAGGGCCAUGCUGACGACUCAUAUGGGCCGACACAGGGGAUGGGAGAGAGGACAGGAGUGGAGCUGCCUGGUGUACAGAAGGCCUCCAAGUUACGUUAAUCACUGAAGAGCUCUGAGCUGUUGUAGAGCCUUCUGGAGGCAAAAGGAACCGUUCGCGGCCAUGGUCCUGGGGGAACUGAAGGCCAGGUUUGGGGAGAUGCUUUUCUGAAGAAGCAACACUGUGUUCACCUGUUCUCACCCACCUCCUCCCCUGCAAGGAUCCAGCACAACCCCGGGGCAAGGGCUAAGACAACAGAGGUUGCAGAUUGGGAGUGUGGAGAAUUCGCUCUUUGUGCAUGCGUGCUAUUGGCCAGUGUCCCCAGCUCCUGUCCGGCUGUGCCCUCACUCCCUGACACCACCAGGUGCACCGUCAGUGAGGCCCCACGCACAAGGGACAUGUGGGUCUCUGUUCAGAAAGCAGAACUUGCUGUGAAAGGUGAUAAUAAAAUGCAAAGCUCUUC